GCUAACUACGGGCCAGCGGGCGCGGGAAUAGGGAGGGGGCGAGCGUUAAUAGGGAUUACUGGGCGUAAAGCGUGCGCAGGCGGUUGUGUAAGUCAGAUGUGAAAUCCCCGGGCUCAACCUGGGAACUGCAUUUAAAACUGUCCAGCUAGAGUCUUGUAGAGGGGGGUAGAAUUCCAGGUGUAGCGGUGAAAUGCGUAGAGAUCUGGAGGAAUACCGGUGGCGAAGGCGGCCCCCUGGACAAAGACUGACGCUCAGGUGCGAAAGCGUGGGGAGCAAACAGGAUUAGAUACCCUUGUAGUC
rnacentral:rRNA from 1 species